CGGCUUUAGAGCUGGCGAGGCAGGGAGUUAUGGACUGUAGUUUAAUCUACUCUAGCGUCAUGAUCUAACCAUGCCAUAAGUCAGUACCUCGCAUACAUAAUCGCUGAAACGUAAUCGCAACAAUUUGCGUAGUCGUAACAUUACAAAAACCAACUAUUUUAUAUUAUGUGUCUUAUUGUGAAAAAUGUGCAACUUGAUAAAAAGCUCGCUUUAUAUGUCGGAUAAAACGUAUACAUAAAAAUACAUGAAGAUAUUCUAUAUUUAUCAGUAAUUUUAGGGAUCGAUAUAAUUUGAUAUUUAUUAUACUAUAAUUACUAUAUCUAAAGUGUCUCAAAAUUGCACUGAAAUCUUGUAUUUUAUCGCGGUGAAAGUUAAGUUAUUGAAAGCUAUCCGCUUUAAUCUACGGUGAGACGCUCGCGCUUAUAGACCUGUACAAAAUAUGCUAAUAUGUAUAUGGUAACCUCACAUCGACAUUCAUGUUAGGCGGUCGAUCAUGCGUCACUGAUGCACAGAGGCGCCUUCGUUCUUUGACGUUCCAUUAUGCAAAAUCGUCUUCCACGUCAUACCUGAUGCCAAAUGCCGAACGUCGCGUGGACGAUUUGACAUGAAUUCACGCUGAUGAUGCCGUAGGUACCCGCCAGACAAAAUAUUGACCAUCAAUGACGUAAACGCAAGGACAAAAAUUGAUAAAAAAUAUGCCGAAUCGAACGCGGCGAAUAGCGCUGAAAAAAUGUUACGCAAAACAUCGUAAUUAUAUAAUGUGUAAUCUAAAUGCUAAAGUAAACAAUGACAUAAAUUUCAAGAUUAUUUCAAAAA